AUUGAACGCUGGCGGCAGGCCUAACACAUGCAAGUCGAGCGAGCGGCGGACGGGUGAGUAAUGUCUGGGGACUGCCAGAGAGAGGGGGAUAACUACUGGAAACGGUGGCUAAUACCGCAUACUAUCGGAUAACCCAUAUGGGAUUAGCUAUUAGGUGGGGUAAAGGCUCACCUAGGCGACGAUCUCCAGCUGGUCUGAGAGGAUGAUGAGCCACACUGGGACUGAGACACGGCCCAGACGCCUACGGAGGCAGCAGUGGGGAAUAUUGCACAAUGGGCGCAAGCCCGAUGCAGCCAUGCCGCGUGUAUGAAGAAGGCCUUAGGGUUUUAAACUACUUUCAGCGGGGAGGCGUUACCCGCAGAAGAAGCUCCGGCUAACUCCGUGCCAGCAGCCGCGGUAAUUC
rnacentral:rRNA from 1 species